UGGGGAAUUUUCCGCAAUGGGCGAAAGCCUGACGGAGUGACGCCGCGUGUGGGACGAAGGCCUUCGGGUCGUAAACCACUGUCAGUGGGAAGGAAGGGUGUCGGCGCAAAUACGGCCGGCAUUUGACGUUCCCUGCAGAGGAAGCCCCGGCCAACCCGGGGCCAGCAGCCGCGGUAAGCAGGAGGGGGCAAGCGUUGCUCGGAAUUACUGGGCGUAAAGGGCGCGUAGGCGGGAUGGCAAGUCGGUCGUGAAAUCCUUCGGCUCAACCGAAGAACGUCGAUCGAUACUGCUGUUUUUGAGGAUUGCAGAGGAGACUGGAAUUCCCGGUGUAGCGGUGAAAUGUGUAGAGAUCGGGAGGAACACCGGUGGCGAAGGCGGGUCUCUGGGCAAUUCCUGACGCUGAGGCGCGAAAGCGGGGGGAGCAAACGGG
rnacentral:rRNA from 1 species